rnacentral:rRNA from 1 species
AUGUUCUUCUGUUUUACUUAGAAGAUUUGGCCUGCACCCUGAAAUUUUAAUUUUAAAGAGCUGCAGUAUUAUGACUGUACAAAGGUAGCAUAAUCAUUAGUCUUUUAAUUGAGGACUUGUAUGAAAGGUUUGACUAAAGAAUACUGUCUCAUUUUAAUAAUUUGAAGUUUUCGUUUUUGUUAAAAGACAAAAAUAUGGAUAAUAGACAAGAAGACCCUUUUAAACUUGAUUUAAUUUAGAGUGGCUAUUUAUAUUAUAAUUAAGGUACUAUAAUUAAAAUUUUGCUGGGGCGGCAGGUAUAUAAACAAUAUUUUAGAUAAAUUAGAAGCUAAGAGAAAGGUCCUUAAUGAGGGAAGAAAGAAAGAGUUACUGAAGGGAUAACAGCGUAAUAUGCCUUAAGAGUUCUUAUUGACAGGUGUGUUUGCGA